rnacentral:rRNA from 1 species
UACGAAGGGGGCUAGCGUUAAUCGGAAUUACUGGGCGUAAAGCGUGCGCAGGCGGUUUGUAAGUCUGUCGUGAAAGCCCCGGGCUCAACCUGGGAAUUGCGAUGGAGACUGCAAGGCUUGAAUCUGGCAGAGGGGGGUAGAAUUCCACGUGUAGCAGUGAAAUGCGUAGAGAUGUGGAGGAACACCGAUGGCGAAGGCAGCCCCCUGGGUCAAGAUUGACGCUCAUGCACGAAAGCGUGGGGAGCAAACAGG